AAUGGAAGAUUUGAGAAGUUUGAGGGGGAAAGUGAAUUUACGGGGAAAAGUGAAGGUGGAGAAGAAGAAUUUGGAUUCAUAGAGAGGAGAAAGUGCAGAGCUUGUUGAAGUAGAUGCCAUUUUUGUGCCUUAUCAACUAUGGUGGUUUGGGGUUUGGUUGAGAGAAAUGGGAGAGGUGAAAUUUGAUGAAGAAAGGAUUAGUAACAUAUUGCUCCUUUAAAGUAUGGGUUUUUGGAAAAUUUACCCCUAAACUUUUAGGGUAUGCAUUCCACUAACUUUGACACAGGGGUGUAAAAAUUCAACCGUUAAGUUAAAUUGAACCGAUGAAUUAAAUCAAACUGAAGAAAAAAAAUGACUUAUAGUUAGAUUUGAUUGGUUUGGUGUUGGCAAAAAAAAAAAAAACAAUCAUUCUUGAUUUGGUAUUAGCAAAAAUAAAAUCAAACCAAAUCCAAAUCGAACCGACGUAAUACAUAUAUAAUUUUAAUUUUUUAUACGUAAAAAAUAUUACUUAUAAUCUACUUUCUAAUUACUUUUAUUAUUUUUUUAUAUUUAAAAAAUAGAUAUACAUUCUUGAGCCUUUAAUUAUAGUAUUUUUCCAUUAAUAACAAAUUAAUACAAAGCCCAAUAUUAAUAUAAAAAUCUAAAACUCUUUAAUUGCUUCAAUUGUUACAUUUUACUUUCCAAGUUUUCAGAGAGUUCUCAUUAUUUUCUCAUCUUAUUCAAUUGUUACAUUUUACUUUCCAAGUUUUCAGAGAGUUCUCAUUAUUUUCUCAUCUUACUUUUCUCAUUCGUCAAGUUGUGAUUUAGGUUUGUUUCUCUUCUUUCUCUCUCUUUUUUUUUAAUGGAAUUAUGUUAUAAUUAAUUACUUCAUGAAGUUAAGUUUUUAAUAAGCUGUCUUCAAUUCUUCGUUCUUUUGUAUGCUUACAUUUUAUGUGAAGGGAACUUUCAGACAAGCUACUGUGACUAGUGACUUAGAAAUUGAACUAUUAGGUAUUCACAUAAUAUUACUUUGAGAGAUAGUAGUUUAGACGUCUUAGUAAUUUGCCAACUUAAUUUUUAUUGAAAUUACUCUAUGACCAUUGUUUUUAACCGAGAAAACCGAAAAACCCAAAAAAAACCAACUAAAAUCAAAAUAAAAAAAUCGAUUGUAUAUUGGUUUGAUUUGGUUUAUAAAUUUAGAAAAUCGGCAUUAUUGGUUUGAUUAUAUUUUAAUAAAAAACCGAACCAACCCGACCUAUGUACACCCCUACUUUGAUAUACUAAAAGCUUUCGUUUGGAGCUGAUAAUAAAGAUCUAUUCACUAAACUAUGUAGCUCGUGCAUAAAGCAAAGAGGAAAGGUCACAAGUUUCAUUUACACGUCAUGUACAAAAUUAUUCAUCUCAAGCAAACGACAUGUACUUGAGUUUUUGAAAAGCUAGCCAGAAAGGCGAAAUAAGGUACUUCAAAAGUUUUAAAGAGCAGUUUGGUACACUAAAGUUUUCCAUGCAUAGACUACAAGGGUGUAUUAGAUGCAACUUUACCUACUAACUUUUGAUAUACUAAAGCUUUCAUUAUGAGCAAAUUCCAGAAAAAAUCGAACAAUAAAGAUUUAUUCGGUAAACUAUGUUGCUCAUGCAUAAGCAAAAAGAAAAAAACAAGGUCACAAGUUUCAUUACAUGUCAUGUAGAAAAUUAUUCAUCUCAAACAAAAAUUAUGUACUUGAGUCUUUGAAAAGCUAGGCAGGAAGGCGAAUAUAAGGUUCUUCAAAAGUUUUAAAGGACCGACAAUCUAAUGCACUAAAGUGUUCGCUAUGCGCAGGAUUUGGAGAAGGGUGACACUACAAGGGUAUAUUGUACGCAGUCUUAUAUACCUUGAAUUUCUGUCAAAGGUUGUUUUCAAGGCUUGAAUCCAUGACCGUGACCUCGUAAUUAUACGACAAUAACUUUACCAGUUACUCCAAGACUCCCCUUCAAAAGUUUCCCCUUCUAACUUUUUGGAGUAUAUAUUGCACUAACUUUUGAUAUGAAUUUCAGUAUUACUCGUCCAUAGGAAAGAGAAAAGGUUAUUCAUUUCAAACAAGUAUCAUGUACUUGAGUCUUUGAAAAGCUAGGCAGAAAGACGAAUAUAAGGUUCUUCAAAAGUUUUAAAGGACAGUCCGAUGCAUAAAGUGCCCAGUAUGCGGGAGCGCAGGGUUUUGGGAAGGGGCACAUCACAAGGGUAUAUUGUACGCAACCUUACCUUGCAUUUCUGCCAAAUAUUGUUCCCAAGGUUUGAACUCAUGACCUUCUGGUUAUAUGGCAACAACUUCAUCAGUUACCCCAAGUCUCCCCUUCAAAAGUUUUCCCUUUAACUUUUUUGAGUAUGUAUUGCACUAACGUUUGAUGUAGCGAAUUUCAAAAAAGACCGACCAAUAAAGAUCUAUUCAUUAAACUAUGUUGCUCAUGCAUACGCAAAGAGAAAAAGGUCAUAAGUUUCAUUUACAUGUCAUGUAGAAAAUUAUUCGUCCCAAAUAAACGUCACAUACUUGAGUCUUUGAAAAGCUAGGUAGAAAGGCGAAUAUAAGAUUCUUCAAAAGUUUUUCCUUUUAACUUUUGGAAUGUGUAUUUCACUUUUUUUAUCCAAACAAAAUGCCAAGUCUUAUUCAUGCUUAAGUUAAAGGAUAGAAUCGUGAGUUUCAUUUAGCCACCGUUGGAACCAAUGAAGCGAAUAAUUGACCCAUCAUAUCAUUUGAAGAAACAGAAAAUAUCAAAAAGUGCGAAUCCACGGCUAAUAACAUCGAUUCAAUUGGCACUUUUUGAGAAAUUAGAUCACUAGUAAUGUUGAAAAAUGACAUUUAUUAAUCAAAUCUUGAAAACACCUUUAUUCUAUUUAACAAAAGAAAAAAGAAACCUGUACCUAUAUACAUUGUUUUACAUCUAUAAUAAUAAAACCACAACAUUGAUGGGCCCAGAAAAUGACCCAUAACAAGAAAGCUAGCCCAUUGGGCCACCUUACAUAAUUGAGCAUCCUGUGGCAUUUUCAUCACUGCAUAGAUAUGGAUCACAUCUGCUCACAUAACACCCUCUAUUAUAGCAAUAAGGCCCAGGCCCAUAGCUAUAUCCAUAGUUACCGUAACACGGGGGCGGUGGGACCGGUCUUCCGUACCACUGAUAACAUGGGCCCCCGGUAUGGCCUUCGUAACAUUGUCCACAACAAUAUCCUGAUGGUGGCGGCGGGUAUUCUUGAACUGGCACUGGUACAGGCUCUGGUGCUGGUGGUGGUGCAACUGGUGGUGGUUUAGGAGCUUCUUUCGGCUUUUCUGGCUCUUUGGGUUUUUCAGGCUCUUUCGGCUUUUCAGGUGCCUUAGGCUUCUCAGGCUCUUUGGGCUUCUCAGGCUGUUUAGGUUUUUCGGGCUCUUUGGACUUUUCGGGUUGUUUAGGUUUUUCUGGCUCUUUGGGCUUUUCGGGUUGUUUGGGUUUUUCGGGUUCUUUGGGCUUUUCAGGUGGUUUGGGCUUUGGAGGCUCUAUGAUUUCAAUGCUUUUGAUUACUCCACACCCUUUACUACACAGUUUGUCACGUAGUUUUUCAGGAUUGCAACAAAUCACAGUAAUUGUAACUUUAUUGCCCUUCUCAUCAUAUAUUUGGUCUCUAAUUUCUAUUGCCAAAAAAAAAAAAAAAUCACACCAAAUUUUUUUUUAGAAAAAAUCAAAUAAAUUCCUAUUCAUAUUAUAAUAAUAUUGAAAAUUCACAAAAAAAAAAAAAAAAAAAAAAAAAACUUACGAGGAAAUUUACAGAGAAUUUUUUUGACUUUUUUGUAGCAGCUACAACACUGAAGAUCAACCUUGAGUACCAUGAUGGUGAUCUGAUAAUUAAACAAUAAGUUACAGUAAUUAAUCAAAGCUCUUAAUAAAAUCGUAAUUAUACUCACAUAAUUAAUCAAAGCUCUUAAAGAAAAAUUUGUGAACAAUAUAUUGUGCUGGCAAAGUUGAUGCCAUGUGACUAGGAGGUCACAGGUUGAAGUCUUGGAAACAGCCUCUGACAAAAAUGCAAGAUAAGGCAUGAUAUACGCUUGUGGUGGGGCCCUUCCCCACAUACCGCAUAUAGUGAUAGCUUUAGUGCACCGGACACUGCCCUUUUUUUAUAUUGUGUAAGUGAAAAGACAAUAGGAGAAAAGAAUUAUGUAUGAGAAGUAUUUACGCAAGCACGAUUAUAUGAUCAGUUAAUAUGUAGUAAAUUCAUGAUCAAACACAAUCAAGUUAUAUAAAGAUCGGUUUUAAUCUUUUUUCAUACACUAAAAAAAAAGUUAGUGAAUUCAUACCUUAUUAUUAUCACCACCCAUGGUUGAUACUUAGGUUGAAGAACAAUGAAUUUGUGUGGAGAGAAGAAAGGUGUAGUUUUAUUGAAAAUAUAUAGUAUGGAAAGAAAGAUCAAAAAGCCAAGAAAAAAUAAUUGGAAAAUAGAAGGAAUAAAGUUGGAACACGUAAUUAAAUUAAAUGGGAAGUUGGAAACUUAUUAUGAUAUCACCAAAAUUGGCAGCCACUAAAAUUGAUGAUUAUAAUAUAUACUUUCAAUUAGCAUGUACUGGCUUUGAUGGUAACAUAUUACCUUCCCUUUCUUACCAAGCAAAUGUAUAUAUGUACUGUAUCCGUACGUAAUUCCGUAUUCGUAUCGAGGUCUGAUUAAAUUCAGGUCCGUACAUUGCAGAGGAUAUAUCCAAAGGCGGAGUCAGAAUUUCAACUCAGGGGGUUCAGUAGGCGGAGUCAGAAUUUCAACUCAGGGGGUUCAAUAUUUGAAGAAAACCUAGUCGAAGGCAGUGGCGGAUCCACCAUGUAAUCAGGGUUCAUCCGAACCCCUUUCGACGGAAAAUUAUAACAUUUUUAUAAGGUCAAAAAUAUUUUUAUAUAUAUAUAUAUAGUAGAUGUUGAACCCCCUUCGAUUAGUCCGUAUGUUUACUUCUGAACCCCCUCAAUGAAAAUCCUGAUUCCGCCACUGGUCGAAGGGGGUUCGAUAUUUGAAGAAAACCUAGUCGAAGGGGGUUCAACACCUACAAUAAAUAUAUAAAAAAUAAUUUUAAGCAUAUAAAAAUAGUAUAUUUUUUCGUCGAGAGUGAUGACGCUAGCAAGAUUUUUUUCAUUCAUAAGGACUCAAACUAGGAAUGUUUGAUUAAGGAUAUAGAAAUUUCAAUCCUUUCACCAUUAUCGAUGUUGGUACCAAGCAAAUAUUAUUGUUUAACUGAAGUUGAUACGUUUAUGUGAUCAGAUCAUUUAUAAAAUAAUUAUAAGUAAAUGUUAUGACGAUAAGCAUAACCAGAUAAAAUGGUUGGUAAUUAAUUGAUUAUAACAUGUUAAAUUGGAAAAAUAAAAGAAUAUUUACAUUAUUGUCAAUAGGAGGGUGGCUUUCGAGUUUGACAGAAUUAAAUAAUUAUAUAUAUAUAUAUAUAUAUAUCAAUUGAGUUGGUGAAUUACCACCCCCCCCCUUCUUGGUGGCUAACUUAAUCUUUAAUUAGUUAUUCAAUUUUACCUAAUUUGUAAUCAUAAAUCUUUCCACCUUUUUCUCUUCUACAAAAGAGUGUAAAUAGUGUAAAUGAAUAUAAUUAACAUAGUUGACUCUUAAAUGAAUGGACUGAUUACAAAAGUUACAAGUGUAAUGUGAUCAUUUAGGGAAGGCCAAAUGUUUUUUAGAGAUAAAAUUAAAAUUUAUGGGUUUGUGUUACAUCAGUCUCAGAUUAUAUAGAAUAAUAGUAAUUGAGUUUAUAAUUAAAUAUUUAUAAACAUUUAAAUAAAAGAAGUUAUAAUAUAAAAAAGUCAAAGGUCAACAUCAUUAGUACUAAAAAAAAUGUGUGGUUCUUUUAUUUUAGGUAGAAGUUUAAUGCCAAGGUGGGUAGUGAGGGGACCAAACUCUAAUUGAUAAAAAGGCAAUAGCAACAUAUAUUAAAUAUAUAAAGUAUACAAAUGGAGAGAUUAUUUUCAUAAAUUCUCUAUUUUAGAACAGACAAAAGAAAAAGAAUAUAAUUGUGAAUAAGUAAUGAUAAAAACACUCGAGAAAAGAAUAAUAACACGAUAAAUGAUAUCGUAAUUGAAACAAAGAAAAUAUAACAAGUAAAAGACUCAUCAAAGGGAAAUACAUAUAUGUCGCCAAGGUGACCUCACUAUCCAUGGACAUGCCAACACAAGUUGAAUAGAAAAACAAAUUGAAAGGAAUAAUUGUCUCGAAAAUACGUAAGUAAAAAUCAAAUAAGUAAUUUUAGAGAGAUCAAGCUUUCUGUACAAAUAAGUCCAUCCCACACGGUAGUAUCGCGCUGAUGUAAUAUUUUGGUAUGACUGAAAAAAAAUUGAUACAUUUUAUGGUAAUGGAAAUAUGUCAUGAUGCCAUAGUCUUUCUGGCUGUUCUCGAAGAGGGAGCACAAUUGACUCGUUCUCUUAUAAUAAUACUAGUAUGUCCGUGCCCGUGCAAUGCACGGGCUAAAUUAGUAUAUAAGAGCAUUUGUUAUUAUCAAAAAUAUUAUUGGGUAAUUGUAGAAUUGUAAACUUACAUGUACUACCAAUAUAACUAUUGCUAUGCCUUUUUCUACCUUUCUGGAUAAUUUGGGUGUUUAGCCAAUCAGGUCUUCAACGCAUUUCAGGUCAACAUUACUUAUAACUUCAUUAGUGCAUCCUAUCUCUUUAUAACAACAUUUCACUAUAUAUAUAUAUAUAUUUUUCUGUAUGUCUACAACAAAUGAAUAACAUCUUUUUAUAUAUCUAUAUCUAUUACUUUCUAAAUUUGAGGGUAAUGUUCAAAGUCUUAAUGGAAAUGAUAGGUAUGCCUUGACAGACUCUUUUAGGAAUCCCGAUCAUACUCGUACGUUUGUAGAAACACGAGAGAAAUGGCUUAUUUUCAGAGAAUGAGCUAUUUACGAUAUAGAUUGUUUAUGUAGUGUAACAACAUACAGUCCAUAAUGCAUAAAGACUCUUAUGUGAAAUGUUACAAUCCAUAACUAAUUGUAACAUUGCAUAAGAGAUAGGAACCACAGUAGUGUUACUAAAUAAUGAAAAGCUGAUAAGAUUGUACCUGAGCAUAUGAACAAGGAUUGGGAUAAGCUUCAGGUUCUGUAGAAACAGCAUCAAGUAAAACCAAUAGCAAAAUUAACAGCAGGAUAAAGAAUAGUAUUCGUAAGAGGAAUAUAAUUACAACAACCAAACCAACUCAAUAUAUAAUAUACCCACUGUAAUCGUACAAGUGGGAUAUAAAUACAACUGCUUCCGAUAACAAAUUGAAGGGAAGGAAACAUGUCUGCUGCUACACAAUAGAUACACCAAUUUCUAUACAAUUCAUGCACCAUAAAAUCAUUGAUAUCCUUCCAAUAGCUAACUUUUUAUAUAGAUUCAAAAGUUAGCUCCUUCAAAGUUGGAUGGAAGAGAUAUAUACAUUGUUUUACAUCUAUAACAAUAACAUUGAUGGGCCCAGAAAAUGACCCAUAACAAGAAGCUAAUGGCCCAUUGGGCCACACCUUACAUAAUUGAGCAUCCUGUGGCAUUUUCAUCACUGCAUAGAUAUGGAUCACAUCUGCUCACAUAACACCCUCUAUUAUAGCAAUAAGGCCCAGGCCCAUAGAUAUAUCCAUAGUUACCGUAACACGGGGGCGGCGGGACCGGUCUUCCGUACCACUGAUAACAUGGGCCCCCGGUAUGGCCUUCGUAACAUUGUCCACAACAAUAUUCUGAUGGUGGCGGAGGGCAUUUUUGAACUGGCACUGGUGGUGCUGCAACUGGGGGUGGUGGGCAUUCUUGAACUGGCACUGGUGCUGGUGCAACUGGGGGUGGUGGGCAUUCUUGAACUGGCACUGGAACUGACACUGGUGCUGGUGCAACUGGGUGCGGUUUAGGCUUAGGAGGUUUGGGCUUUGGAGGCUCUUUGAUUUCAAUGCUUUUGAUUACUCCACAUCCUUCACUACACAAUUUGUCACGUACUUUUUCAGGAUUGCAACAAAUCACAGUAAUUGUGACUUUAUUGCCCUUCUCAUCAUAUAUUUGGUCUCUAAUUUCUAUUGCCAAAAAAAAUCCCACACCACAAAAAAAACAAAAAAAAGGGAAAAAAUAAAUCAAAUUAGUUCCUAUUCAUUUCAUAAUAAAUUAAUAAGAGAAAAUACUCUAUUUCCACCUGAACUAUACACGAAAUUGAUGAGAUACACCCGAAUUUUAGGAGAAUCCUGUUACCCCGGAUUAAUUAAAACUGUAUUUUUGGCAACCUUAGUGCCUACGUGGACCUUCAGUGUGUUGA
rnacentral:lncRNA from 1 species